rnacentral:rRNA from 1 species
GACGGAGGGGGCGAGCGUUACCCGGAUUCAUUGGGUGUAAAGGGUGCGUAGGCGGCCAGUCAAGUCCGAGGUUAAAGACCAGUGCUCAACUCUGGGAGUGCGUUGGAAACUGAGAGGCUAGAGGGGGGGAGGGGGUACGGGAAUUCCCGGAGUAGCGGUGAAAUGCGUAGAUAUUGGAAAGAACGCCAAUGGCGAAAGCGGGUAACUGGACGAUUAGUGACGCUGAGGUGCGAAAGCUUGGGGAGCGAACGGG